UGGAGAUCCUUGAACAGAGUUUGCCAGGUAGGUCGAUGCUAUUGGAGGCAAUUUUUAACAAUGGUAAUUCAAGUGUCAUAUCUGUUGAUUUUAUGAGUCUGGUAAAAGAGAUGCUGGUAUCAGGGAUCAGCCGCAUAUCAGAGGUCAUUUCUAUAGUGGUUAUCUGGUAAAGUGGUAAUUGACAUUCAGAUGUAGUUUUCUUUGUUGAGAGCUAUUAAUCCUUCUUCUCGUGAAAGAUGUGCGGAUGGAGGACUCAGUUCUUUAGUGAUGGAACAUCUUUUUUGUUGGAGAAGAAGUUACAAACCUAUUUCAGUGAGUUGGAGGUCAUUUUUAAGUUUCAUCUCAGGAGUUAACAUGCUAUAAUUGUAUGGCUUGCUUGAUGGCUUAU
rnacentral:misc_RNA from 1 species